rnacentral:rRNA from 1 species
UGGGGAAUCUUCCGCAAUGGGCGAAAGCCUGACGGAGAGAUGCCGCGUGGGGGACGAAGGCCUUCGGGUCGUAAACCCCUGUCAGAGGGAAAGAAGGGGUCGGGCGGGAACAGCGCUCGGAUCUGCCGGGACCCUCAGAGGAAGCCCCGGCCAACUCUGGGCCAGCAGCCGCGGUAAGACAGAGGGGCCGAGGGUUAGGUGGAGUGCCGGGGGGUAAAGAGGGCGAAGGGGGGGGGGUAGGAACGUGGU